UACAGAGGGGGCAAGCGUUUAUUCGGAAUUAUUGGGCGUAAAGGGCGCGUAGGCGCCUGGCAAGUGGAUGGUGAAAUCCCUCGGCUUAACCGAGGAACUGCCAUCCAGACUGCUUGGCUUGAGACCGGGAGAGGUGAGUGGAAUUCCCAGUGUAGCGGUGAAAUGCGUAGAUAUUGGGAGGAACACCAGUGGCGAAGGCGGCUCACUGGACCGGUACUGACGCUGAUGCGCGAAAGCGUGGGGGAGCAAACGGG
rnacentral:rRNA from 1 species